rnacentral:rRNA from 1 species
UUGGAGGGCAAGUCUGGUGCCCGCAGCCGCGGUAAUUCCAGCUCCAAUAGCGUAUAUUAAAGUUGUUGCAGUUAAAAAGCUCGGAGUUGAAUUUCGGGAUUGACACAUCGGUCGUGCCUUAAGGGGUAUGAACUGGUGUAGUCAAUUUCUCACCUUCUGGAGAACCGCGAUGCCCUUAAUUGGGUGUCACGGGGAACCAGGACCUUUACUUUGAAAAAAUUAGAGUGUUUAAAGCAGGCAUUUUGCUUGAAUACAUUAGCAUGGAAUAAUAAAAUAGGACGGCAUGAUUCUAUUUUGUUGGUUUCUAGGAUCACCGUAAUGAUUAAUAGGGAUAGUUGGGGGCAUUAGUAUUCAAUUGUCAGAGGUGAAAUUCUUGGAUUUAUUGAAGACUAACUACUGCGAAAGCAUUUGCCAAGGAUGUUUUCAUUAAUCAAGAACGAAAGUUAGGGGAUCGAAGACGAUCAGAUACCGUCGUAGUCUUAACCAUAAACUAUGCCGACUAGGAAUCAGACGAUGUUAAUUUUUUAAUGACUCGUUUGGCACCUUACGGGAAACCAAAGUGUUUGGGUUC